GAGGCAGAGACAGACAGGCUCCGUGCACCAGGAGCCCGACUCGGAAUUCGAUUCCGGGUCUCCAGGAUCGCGCCCUGGGCCAAAGGCAGGCGCUAAACCGCUGCACCACCCAGGGAUCCCAAGGAGGGAACUUGAAGUAAUGAGCUCUGGAUGUUGUUUGCAACAGAUGAAUCACUGAAUUCUACCAAUGAAACUAAUAGAAGAGGAAACACCCUGGCUGCUUAUUUUGGGGCUGAGGAUCUAUUGUGAAUAAGCCCAGGACGGGCAGCGGGACAAGCUUUCUGCACGUGUGGCAUUUCAGGAAACAGGCUGAACUGGCUGCAGCCCUUGCCAGAGGGCUCCCUGAGGGCGCCUAGAUGGACGAGGAACAUGAAGAACAAUGCCUGAGAUCAAAUGCAGGGCCAGAUGCUGAGCUGGGGGCUAUGAGAAGAGCAAAGAUGAACAAGACACAUCAACCCUCAAGGAGUGUUUGACUUAUGAUGUCUGAGAUGUACUUUAAAAUAAUCUGGAGAAAACAGAAGGGAGAAUAUCUCACACAAGGCUGAGCAAAUGUUGAUGACUAUUAAGGCGUGAUGGAA